rnacentral:lncRNA from 1 species
GGUUCCAUCCCUGGCCUCGCUUAGUGGGUUAAGGAUCCAGCGUUGCUGUGAGCUGUGGUGUAUGCUACAGACUUGGCUUGGAUCUGGCGUUGCUGUGGCUCUAGCAUAGGCCGGUGACUACAGCUCUGAUUAGACCCCUAUCCUGGGAACCUCCGUAUGCCGAGGGUGUGGCCCUGAAAAGACCAAAAAAAAAAAAAAAAAAAAAAAAAGAGUCUUCUCAGAUACUGUGUCUUGACAGGAGGUGGAUCUGUUUAAUUGCAUCUCUUUGGGAAUCCACCUAAAUUUAAAGGGAAUUACUACUAAUUAUAGGCUGUUAAUCAUUUUUCUAGAAAAUGGCAUAGGGAACUUUGCUUGAAGUUUUGCUGAGGAAUUUUAUUAAAAGGUCCGACUUGGGUAGAACUUUUCUCCUACUUUUUUCUCAGUGUCUCUGAUCAAUAUUGGGUGGUCGUGCUUGGCAGACACUGAAUUUUUGCUAGGGAGAGUCUUUGGUCUCCAAAUUAUUCCGGAAACAUAACAGUGUCGUGAUGUGAACCAUGAGGCAGGGUAGUGAGAGGAAUUGAUGUGUUUGGAGACUGAGAGACAGGGUUGGAAUUCCUGGCCUGCUAGUUACCGUGUAACUCUGGAUGACAGUGAUUGAGUCACCAUUCGCCACAGAACGUCCCAGCCCAUUUUCACACAGUAUUUCUAAUUCUCAUCACAUUUAGACCUUGUGGAUUUCAUUUAGGCAACAAAUGCUAAUGAGGGCCUAGUGUGGGCCAAGUGGAGCAUCAGGGGUGUGGGUACCAUACGGGCUCUAGUAGUUAGCAUCGUCCCCAUUUUAUACAUGCCAGAACUGGCUCAAAUAGGUUAAAUAGCUUCCCUAAAGCUUCCCUUUACAAGCUCGUAAAGCAACAAGUUACUUAACCUUUAUGAACCCCUGUUUCUUUUAUAAAAAGGGGAAAAUAAUACCUAAGAGUAGACGGCACACAUGGAGAAGAAAAUUCCUUCUGUGCUGCGUGAUGAGCAUAACAUGUAAAGUCUGGCAUUUUCGGCACUCAGUAAAUGGUUGAUAACAACAAUAGAAACAAUGAUAAUUGAGUGUGAAGGCCAGUUUCAGUGCAUUUCCAUAGGAAAAAUUUAGAUUAUAAGUUUCCUAAACUACCACUGAUGAGCGUGGCUCUGUCAAUUGGUCGGCUGAAUUUAGUGUUUAUCGAGGCUUGCCUAGGAAUCUCCCUGAGGGCUAUAGAAAGGCUUGUGCAGAACUAACUAUAGAAAAGAAGCAUUUGGUUCCUUUGUUUGGGGUACGGCUCUCCUCUCAGUUGCUUUGCUUGUAUUAUCUCUUAGUGUUUACAGAUUUAAAAAUGUCAAAAGGAAAAUUUGUAAAGUACAUCAAAAGAUUACUCACUAAAAAAGAUGAAACUGUCAAACUACAACAUACGGUAAAAUUUAAGCAUUGAAAUACCAAAGGACCAGGCAGGGUUCUUUGUUUGAAUGCUGUGAGUAGCACAUCUGAUGUUUAUCCUCAAAGUGGGGAGCAGUUGUGGGAGACUUCAAGUACAGAUUUUGAAGGUUUAGGCUUAGGUGAGAGCCCAUCCAACAGCACUAGGAGCUGGAAACUUUCAGGCUGGCCCCAACGACCUUGAACCACUUCAGAAAGAAGGGUACCACCCGUUAGCUGAGGUCAGCUCUUACGUCAGGCUGCACAGAACAUGCAGGCCCCAGAACUCAGACAUCAUUCUCUCCAUCUCCAAAGAUGCUUCAGGGCUUUAGAACUACUUUCUGUCUAUGGAAUAAAGAACUUGGUUGAUUGUUAAAGGACAUCUCUGAUCAGGUUGUUGACCUUGAAGAAUUUAUUUAGCCUCUCUGAGACUGUUUCCAAAAGUGUAAAACAGGGAUGAUAAAACCCACCUCAGAGCAGAAGGUGGUUGUGAGGAUUUAAAGGGACAGAAUAUAUAAAGCACCUAGCAUGUGCCGGGCCAGAAAUCGGAUCAUGAUAAAACGUGAACAGAAAGUCCUUCCCUGGUAUCCACUUCCCCAGGGAUCCAUCUCAACUCUCUAUAGUCUAGGCUAUUUUCACUCAGCCCGUGUGCUGACUUUUUGAUCUGCUGUGAGCAAUGCCUAUAGUCUUUGACUGAUUUCUCAAAUUUCCCUGUUCCUACAGAAAAUAACCCACUUCUGAUAGCACGAGGGCACGAUCAGCCCUGAGGAAGUUGGUGACUAGGCACCACUUUGGGCUGGCUGAAAGCUCCUGGUUUAGGGCAUCUGCCUGAGAAACAAAGUAAUCAUUUGAUGUAGGCUGGAUUGAAUGGAAGCCGGUAUAUGACAGGGUGCAAGAUAUUUAUUUAGGAUCAGCACCUGUGCAGUGAGCUCUGGAGCCAACAUUGCCCAUCCCUCAGGGUGGUCCUGCAUGGACUCACCUGUCUAGGAUUAUCCUCCCAACCUUGCUUGGACUCCAGAUUUCACUGGUACCAGAGGGCUUGAGCUCUGAUGAGAUGGUUUUUGCAGCUGAGGGGAAGAUGGAGGAUCUGACAGCUGAAGCUGUUUGUUCUUGGAGGGCAGGAGAAAGUUCUUCUUUGAAGGUUUACUGGAACAUUCACAAAUGAAGAAAGCUGUCAUUGCUGUUGUAGGGUGCCCCCUUAUAAAAGUGCUUCUGACCUGCAGACAUUGUUCUAGGGAGGCUGGGAUAAAAAUUUAAUCCCACAACUAAAUAAUAGGAAACUGCUAGAAUAUUUACAGCAAAAUCUGCCAAGUUCUCAGGACAAAUCUCUUCCUAAAACACAUUCACCCAAGAGCUUAUAUGCUCUGGGGAAAUGAAAUACACACCACUACUCUAAUGUUAUCUUUCUAAAGUCUUGGUAUUAAAAAAAAAAAAUACCAGUAAAUGACAAUGUCCUUCUGUCAUUCCUCUUGCUGCUAGAAAGGAAGGGAAACCAGUAUGAUUGGAGUAAUCACAAUAUAGUAAAAAGAUGAUUGGUUUAUGGGUUAGAAGACUUUAUCUUAAUCCUGGCUCAGUCACUGUGUGACCAUGGAUAAAUCACUUCUCAAAUCCAAACCUCAGUUAUCUUGUCUGUAUAAUGGGAAGUUGGGCCAGAUCCUUUCCAGCUCAGGCAUGUUAUGACUUUUGAAUAAUAAAAAAGCUUCUCUCCAAAGUAGUAUUGGCUCUUUAGUUUUUUAUUUUUAUUUUUAUUUUUUUAUCACAUGCUAUGGUUUCAAGCAGUGCUUGUUAAGGUCACAUAAUCUGCUCACUGGGGAAUAUGUUUCUCUGGUGUAGACUUUGGCUAACAUAGCCUUCCUAUCCUCAACCAGGAGAAGAUAUGUUUAUUAAUUCUUCGACUUGAUGUUUAAUCUUAUGUUAAGCCAAUGAGUCAAUUGUAAAACAGUCGGCACAAUCUUCAUAUUCUAUCAUAAAAUUUUGUAUUUUCCCUUUCAGGUAAGAGCAACUUAAAGUGCUAAUUCUCAGGGGUAGAAUGUUUCAGCUGAUCCUACUUCUUCAUAAAUUACAGUCCAUAAAUAGGGGCAGGAAUCCUCAAAACCCUUAAGAAUUUUAUGACACUCAGGAAUCCUGUAAAGAGCAGUCAUUUUGCAGAGUGGAUGCAUUGGUUGUGACAGCACCAAAUAAUAAUGACUAUUUUGCUGACAAUGAGUUGCUUCAGGAGUGUUUAAACACAUUGGCUUUCUUAUUUGUAUUUAUUCUAUUUUCCCCAAACCUACCUCUUAACAAGCAGUUGACAAGACCUCUGCCUAGGUUGGUAUGAAAAGUAUUAAAGCUUUGAAAAAGUACCCCCUUCCAAGUCCCCACAAUUGAAACACAUCUAAAAAUUUUGUAAAAUAUUUUGAUUUCUUUCACUCACCCAGUUACUCCAUGGAUAAGGACAGAAAGUAUUUGUUUUACCCUAUUUCUGGUCUUUGGGUGGCAUGAAAUCUAUUAAUUCUUGUGGCACUCAAUAUUGAAUUAAAGAUUCAAUUGGCAAGCCUGCUUAAAAUGGAAAGCUCACACCUCUUUGGAAAAAGGUUAUUUUAAAUUAAAAUGAACGUUUCUGUUUCCAUUGCUUUAGGUGUCUUAAGUGGUGCACUGAGCUGAAAAGAGACGUGAAGCAGACAUUUGGUUGUAGCAGGGGAAGCCAGACUUUGCUGAGCACUGUGCACGCACUCAAAGGCUGUGUUUAAUUGAUGUGUGGUGGAGUGUGGCAAGGCAGUCCUCCCAUUACAGCAGCCAUCAUCCAUGUAGGUUCUAGAAGACUGCACAAUUCAAUGCCUUUGGUUGGUCUGUCAACUGAGACUUGAAGUGCCCGUGACCAUUUAUUUACUCACUCAUUUGUCAGUGUUGAUGCACCUACUAUGUGCCUGGAAUUGUUCUAGCAGCUGGAGCUGCAGCAGUCAACAGGCAAGAAUUCCUAUUCUUAGGAAACAUAUAUUCUACAGGGGGCAGAAAACAGAACAUACGCAAGUAAUACUAAUGGUGUGUCAAAUGAUAGUAAGUGAUACAGAGAAAAGUUAAGAAGGGUGGGGUAAGGAAUGUCCAGGUAGAAGUUGAUGUGUGAUCAGGAAAGGCUUCCCAGAGGAAGUGGCCCUUGAGACAAAGUCUUAAAAGACAUGUGGGGGUUUGUGAUGGGAAUCUGGGGAAAGAACAUUUCUGGCUGAGGGAAUAAGCAGGUAUGGAAAUCAAGAGGUACAUCAAAGAGGCCAUUUUACCUGGAUUGGAGUGAUCUAUACGGAGAGAUUUCAGAGAUUCAAGGUGAGAUCAGAGAGGCAAGGGUAGAGUGGAAUUUGGCUUUACAGGCUUUUGUAAGGCAUACAGUUUUUCUUCAGAGUAUGCUGGGGAGACACUGCAGGAUUUGAGCAGAGGAGUGAUGCUAUAAUCUAUUUUAUGCUUUAAAAGGACCACUUUGGCUGUUGUGUUGAGAAUAGAAGGUAUAGAGGAGCUGGGUGACUACUGACAGGAGGCUAUUACCGUAACACAUAUGGAGAUGAUGCUCACUUAUGUCAGUGUUUGCAGUAGAGGUGAUGAGAAAGAGUUGGGAAUCUUGUGAAUAGAUGAGGUGUGUGCUCCAAGAAAGAGGCCCUGGGAGUUCCCUUGUGGCUCAGCAGGUUAAGGAUCCAGC